rnacentral:sRNA from 1 species
CUUCUUCGAUUUGCUGCGGACAGAUGAAAUGUAUGUGGGCGUCGAUGCCGCCGGCGGUGGCGAUCAUACCUUCGCCAGCGAUAACUUCCGUGCCGGGACCGAUAAUGAUGUCGAUGUUGUCCUGUAUGUCCGGGUUGCCGGCUUUGCCGAUGGCGGCGAUGCGACCCUGCUUGAGCCCGAUAUCCGCCUUGACGACGCCCCAGUGGUCGAGGAUCAAGGCAUUGGUGAUGACGGUGUCCACCGCUUCUGUAUUAGGGCGUUGCGACUGCCCCAUGCCAUCGCGGAUG